AUGGAAAAUCUGCCCCCCUCGGUUUUUGACCUCAAUGAGAAACUCAUGUUUCUCUUUAAAAAACUUAGUUCUGUCUUGGGUUUUUAUGUACCAAUCUCUUACCUUAACAUGCUAAGAGAGCAGCAUUUCCUCUACCCUAUCCACAUGGACUUAUAUUAUAAAUCAUUUUACUUUGAUUCCUCAAGGUCAAGUUGCUGUCAAAAUAUAAGAGUGGUCAAAAGCCUCAGUUUUUUCUCUUUCUUUUUUUUUUUUUUUUUUGACAAGAGGAACCUGAACAGUCUGCUGAAGCACCUGAUGUUUGGCCUUUCUGAAUGUCAUGGAACAUGUACUUCACCAUCAAUUCAUACAGCAGAUAUCAUCGUACACAGUCUGGGUGUUGAUGAUUUGGGCCCAGAGAGACCAAGUAAGCGAAUUACCUGAAGACACAUUGUUGGUGAGUAACAAAAUACGGGGACCUGGAGCAAUACUAAUUUCACAACCCUAUUUACUCUCUUCUGGAAAGUAAGAAAAAAAAAUGGUAUGACUCUGGAAAAAAUUGAUGAAGUUCCCAGGUCUCAGAUUAAAGCAUAAUAUUGGAGAAGCAGAAACUCCGUUUAUCACCCAGUGAAGUGAAUUUGAGGAUUAGAUCUUUCUCUGUUAGUUAUAGUGCAUUAUUCAGGGCAGAUACAUGUGCCUGACCAUGUUGAUCAGAUAAAGCAGAUGACCAUUAAAGUCCCCUAUCACAGUAUGAAAUAUGACUGUAUGUUCUGCUAUUCCCAUUUAAUGGAGAAAUGUGAGAAAGCUGUUCCUUGUUGAAAAUCAACUCACAAAAUAAACAAAUAACAUUGUAUCUAUUAACACUAGCAAAUGAGAACAGAAAAUAGAUGACUGAAAAUCAUACUUUUAGCAUAACAUAUGAAUGAUGCAAAUUCCUCGGGGGUAAAAAAAAAUUAGCAAUCUGUUCAUACUGGUUGCCAGAAAGUUCUUGAAUUUAAAUAUGAAUACUUCUAUUGUGACUACGAAGGCUGACAGAGCUGUAUGUCUGAAAUUUAAUCUGACCAGUGAUGUUAGGAUAUAACAGCAGAUAUUCGGGACUGAAAGUGGAUACUCAUCAAUACAAAUACUACACUGAGAUGUAAUAAAUAUCUCCUUGCCAACUUUUUUCUAUGAUGUCACUGUGAGCUUUAUGCAAGAAUAUUUGUUACUUUAUAUUUUAAAAACCUUUAAAAUAAAUGAUAUAUGGAAUGAAAGAUUAGCAGUAGCAGAUAAAUCAUCACCAUUUGAUCAUUUAUAUUUGACGAUGGUAAAGUGAUAGCCUUAAUGUCAUUCCAUGCAUGUGAAGCACAUUGAAAUUAUUAGAAACAUAUCAAGAAUUCUGAAUGAAACAACACACCUAAAUCUGAAGUCUUCUCUCUACUCUCCUUAUCCUCUAAUGCUAUGUAUAUCUGGGCUGUCUAAUUAUAACACAUCUAGGUAGGUGAGAAACUGUUAUUUCAAGAUGAUGCUGUGCAAAAUUCUUGGUUAGAUUUGUGUUUAAGGUCUAAAUGAAUGCUAUUAGUAUAUUAUGGAGAGUGUCUGGCUUGGAACAAAGUAUUGACAUACUUUCUAGAAACAGAAUUAGUAGGAGCAAAACUCAUUUCUGUAGGAGAUCUGGACUCUUUGAGCAGUGAGAAAUGUCAGGGUCACAUGUGUAGUCGGAGAAUGUGAAGGAGACAAGGACCAUAGAGACAGAAAGGCUGAUUCUUUCCUCUGCUCAAACUUGUCCAAGGUACUUCCUAACAACAAGAAAAUGGCAGAACCUGAAAAAAGGAAUGUUCGUAAGUCUGAAUAGCAGGAAUGGAAUCAAAUUAAACAUCAAAAUGCAGGGUUCACAAAAGUAUUUUAAAUAUAUAUAUAUAUGUAUUUUUUUUCUUUUAAGCAAGCAACAUUUGUCUGCACUGUUCUAUGUUUAUGUUUACGUGUGUGUUUUGCAGUAGACUGGUAAUAAGAAAGAAUAAAAUCACUUGCUUGACUGAAAGAGUCUGUUAAUAAGUAGGGGAGAGAGACAUGUUCACUUCAUGGAUAAACAUAAUAUGAUGAAAAGAGACCCUAUGCAAAAGGAAGGAUUAGAAGGGUGUCUGUGAGAAAGAAUGAUAGUCUGAUACUAAUAAAAAGCAUUGAUUAAGGAGAGCAAUGUCUUUUCUUCAACUUGAGCUACUGAGUUUAAUAUUUGCUCUUUCUGACUAUGCUGAGAUCAGAGCACAAAACUUUUCCCUAGCCAGGUAGUUAUUAGAGAAACCCUGAGCUCUACUGGUGAAUCUACAAUCACCACUUGAUGAUGGCAAAUGGGAUUUAUGAUUAGACUAUGAAAUAGAUAAGAGUAUCUUUAACUAUCUUUGAGAAGUGCAUGGUUGUGCAGACAGGUAAUGCUGUGGUCCUUACCUGUCUUAGACGGGACCCUGCCUGAGGAAGACUGAGUUAUAGCCAGGAUUCCUGUCUAGAACAACUGUUUAGAAGCAAGAGGUGGGAG
ensembl:lncRNA